rnacentral:tRNA from 1 species
AUCCAAAUAGUUUAAUUAAAACGUCGGUUUGUGGAUCCGGAAAUAUAAGGUUUUAUUUUGGGUA